CUUUCCUGCUCCUCUGAUGCUGCUUAGCCUGCUGUCUUCAUCCAGCUCUGCACCUUGUUAUCCGCUAUGUAAAAGGAUGUCACAGGACUGGAGCAGAUGGGCUCAGGAGCCCGAACACUACCUAUCAUGCCAGAGCUGCCACCUUGAAAAUGGGUCCAGCGGCGUAAUUUUACAGCAAAUCGUUUAUCUGAACUGCAUGUCUGGAGUGAAGCCUUGGGAGCUUUGCACAGUCAUGACGUUCUUUUGUAAAAUCCUGCCAGCCAGCAAAGGGAACCUGUGUUGCAAUAUGUUUCUUGAAAAAGUUGCUGCAGGCUGUGUGGUGUUGCUGAUGGAGCCUGUUGAAAUGUUUAACUUGUAACUCUUGUUGCUCACUCCUGUAGAUCUUCAACAGUAACCUGCUGUCACCACCCAUCUCUGCAUUGCCUCUAGCUAUCUGCAACUGACUGAAACUUUAUGGAAAUCACUCUAAUCAUUCAAAUACAGCAUUGAAAACUAGAGCUAAGUUAUUCAGAGAAUGAUGUUGAAUACAGGGUUCUGUAUGCAGUGUAAUAGAAAUAUGAAGUCUUCUUCUGGGCAAGUUGUUGACGUUAGGGAUUAAUUGGAAAAGCAUUUACUAGAUUUUUGAAAGCUAAAGAUAUUAAGGGCGACUGAAUCAAUGAGUUUAGGUGGGGUUAAAAUGCAGAUUAUCCAUGAUCCAACUGAAUGACAGAACAGGCAGGAGGGGCACUAGUAAAUUCAACCGCACUAAUUAAAAGGCAAGGGAGAGCAAGAGUAGAGGAUAACAGGCUGCUAGCUUGAUGCAUGUAGUAGGGACCGUAUUAUGAUUUAUUUUAAAGGAUGUGAUCACUGUCCAUAAUAAAUGGCGGAAUGGAGCAGAGUCAACAUAGUUUAUGAAAGGGAAGUCAUGUUUGGCAAUUUUCUACAGUCUUCUUGAGGAUGUUACAGGCAGCAUGGGCAGAGGAAAUCUAGUGAAAUUGGUGCAUGUGGAUUUUCAGAAGGCUGCUGAUAAAGUCCAACACGGAGGCUAAUAUCUAAAAUUAGAGUGUUAGGAAUUGGGACAAAUAUACUCGAAGUGAUUGAGAAUUGGUUAACUGAUAGAAAACAGAGAGUAAGAAUUUACAAAUCAUUCUCAGCAUGGCAGAGAUUCCUGGUCUCUGCUAUAGUAAAGGCAUUAUUAAAUUGGAGAGGGUGCAGAAAAGGUUGACCAGGAUGUUACCUGGAUUAGAGUGUUUGAGUUGUAAGGAGAGGCUGGGUAGACUGGGACUUUUUUCACUGGAGUAUCGGAGGUUGACGGGUGAGAGGUCUAUAAAAGCAUGAAAGGCAUGGAUGAAGUGAAUAGCAAAAGGAUUUUCCCCAGGAUGAGGAAUUUCAAGACUGGAGGACAUUGAUAUAAGACGAAAGGAAAAAGAUUUAAAAGGGACCUCAGGAUAACUUUUUCGCACAGGGAUGGAGUGUAUAUGGAAUAAACUUCCAAUUUAAAAGCAAUUUAGGUGAGUAGUUGAGUAAGAAAGAUUUGGAGGGAUAUGGGCCAAUGUGCAGGCAGGUGGGACUAGUUUAGUUUGCGAUUAUGUUCAACAUGGACUGGUUGGACUGAAGUACCUGUUUCUGGGCUGCACGCCUCUUAUGACUGCAAGUUGCCAAUUGGAAAAGUGCCCCGAUGUUGCAGAGGUUCGUACGUCUCGCUGGACAUGUGGAGCGUGUGGUGUCUGGCCAUAGAGUGUGCCCUCUAACACCAGUGACUAAUGCACAAGGCGAAGGUGCAGAGGAGCAGACGGAAUAGUGCCAGACGACUGGAGGAUCGCAAAUGUGGUUCCCCUGUUCAAGAAGGGGAGUAGAGACAACCCUGGAAUAGGCGUCGCCCAACGACAGGGUUUACCAGGUGAUGGCAGGGCUUUUAGCCAGUGAGCCCAAGGGAGGAGAUGUUCCAGAUUAUGGAGAUAACUGCAAUGAAAACCAAUGUUACGGAGGCCCUCACUGGCGAUGGUACAUUAUUGCUCUUUAACAGCACACAAUCAAACUUCUAUCUGAAAUUCACCUUGUGUUAGAAGAUGCCUUUUGUAGGACAUUCUAUUUGGUCUUUGAUUACCCUGAAGAUAUGCUUCUGUAACUGCUAUAUUGCAAUCUACAGUGUACACAGAGGAAGAGUAAGUGAACCAGUGAGAAGAAAGAACCAAUAUUUGACCUGACUAUUAUAGCCAGCAGUUCAGACACUAAGCAUAACAUGGGGGUUAGUACAUAUUGUAAGUGCUGUAAUG